rnacentral:rRNA from 1 species
UACGUAGGGUGCGAGCGUUGUCCGGAAUUAUUGGGCGUAAAGAGCUCGUAGGCGGCCUGUCGCGUCGGUUGUGAAAGCCCGGGGCUUAACCCCGGGUCUGCAGUCGAUACGGGCAGGCUAGAGUUCGGUAGGGGAGACUGGAAUUCCUGGUGUAGCGGUGAAAUGCGUAGAUAUCUGGAGGAAUACCGGUGGCGAAGGCGGCAUUCUGGACCAUUACUGACACUGAAUCGCGAAAGCUAGGGGAGCAAACGGG